GGAUCAUUACAGAGUCGUAAAACACUCCCAAACCAUUGUGAACUUACCAUUUGUUGCCUCGGCGGUCCCCUGCCGGAUAGCGAGCUACCCUGUAGCGACCUACCCUGUAGCCCGCCGGUGGACAUCUAAACUCUUGUUAUUCUAUGGAUAUCUGAGCGUCUUAUUUAAUAAGUUAAAACUUUCAACAACGGAUCUCUUGGUUCUGGCAUCGAUGAAGAACGCAGCGAAAUGCGAUACGUAAUGUGAAUUGCAGAAUUCAGUGAAUCAUCGAAUCUUUGAACGCACAUUGCGCCCAUUAGUAUUCUAUUGGGCAUGCCUGUUCGAGCGUCAUUUUGACCACUUAAGCCUGGCUUAGUGUUGGGAGUCUACGUCUGUAGUUCCUUAAAACCAGUGGCGGAGCGCAGAGGCCUCUGAGCGUAGUAAUAUUUUCUCGCUUUGGACGGCCCUCGUGACCCUUGCCAUUAAACCCCCAAUUUUUUAAGGUUGACCUCGGAUCAGGUAGGAAUACCCGCUGAACUUAAGCAUAUCAAUAAGCGGAGGAAAAGAAACCAACAGGGAUUGCCCUAGUAACGGCGAGUGAAGCGGCAACAGCUCAAAUUUGAAAUCUGGCCCUAGGCCCGAGUUGUAAUUUGUAGAGGAUGCUUUUGGUGCGGUACUUUCCGAGUUCCCUGGAACGGGACGCCUUAGAGGGUGAGAGCCCCGUACGGUUGGAUACCUAGCCUCUGUAAAGCUCCUUCGACGAGUCGAGUAGUUUGGGAAUGCUGCUCAAAAUGGGAGGUAAAUUUCUUCUAAAGCUAAAUACCGGCCAGAGACCGAUAGCGCACAAGUAGAGUGAUCGAAAGAUGAAAAGCACUUUGAAAAGAGGGUUAAAUAGCACGUGAAAUUGUUGAAAGGGAAGGACUUAUGACCAGACUUUUUCUGGGCGGAUCAUCCGGUGUUCUCACCGGUGCACUUCGCCCAGUAAAGGCCAGCAUCGGUUUCCGUAGAGGGAUAAAAGCAGUAGGAAUGUGGCUCCCCCGGGAGUGUUAUAGCCUGUUGUAUAAUACCUUUAUGGGGACCGA
rnacentral:rRNA from 1 species